rnacentral:lncRNA from 1 species
UAUCAAGCGAAUCAAGUAAAAACAAAUAAAAUAAAAAAAAAGUGUUUAUAUACCAUUAUCAAUUACAUGUUAAUACAUAUAAGUAUAAAUGUGUUAUCUACCAUUGUUGUUACAUUUGUUGUUACAUUUGUUGUUACAUUUUUUGUUACAUUUUUUGAUACAUUUUUUGUUACGUUUUUUUUUUUUUUUUUACUAUUUCUUCUAUUUUUUUAGAUUUAUCGCUGUCACCUGCAAAAAAUGAUCCUAUUGGUGAAAAUUUAAAAAAAAAAAAAAAUUUUUAUAACAAUGAAAAUGACUUAAAUAAUAGUUUCCUAAAUUCUUAUAAUGGAGAUUUAGAUAAUAGCAAUGUGGGUAUAAAUUUAAAAAUAAAAAAUAUGUGCAUUACAGAAAAUAAGGAAAAAAAAAUUGAGGAUACUCAAAAAAACAAAGAAACAAAAUUAGUGGAUGAUUAUAAAUAUAGUACCCGUAAUAAUAAUAAUAAUAAUAACAAUAACAAUAAUAAUAAUAAUAAUAAUAAUAAUAAUAAUAAUAACAAUAAUGCACAUAAUUAUAACAAUAAUGCAUAUGGUUUUAACAAUAAUAAUGCACACUAUAAUGACAAUAACAAUAAUGCGUACAUCGAGAAUAACUACAGCAAUAAUAUUAAUACAAAAAUCAUUUCACAGUAUUAUAAUAAUAACGAAGUAAUAAAUAAAAGUAACAAUAAAAACGAUCAAAUAGUUUGUAAUGUUAAUGAAUAUAAUAAUGUGAUACAAUCAAAUACAGAAAAAUUAACAAACAACAUGAAAAAAGAAGUAAAUGAGAGGGUUGCUAACAAAAAUUUUGAAACAUGUAAAAACAAUAAUGAAUUAACAAACAAAACUAAACAGCUAAGUGCUAAUAAAUCUAGUCCUAAUGGUAGAAGACAAGCUGCUCAUACGAAUAGAUACAGCGAUAAUACAAAUAAACAAAGUACAAGUAAUAACGAAAAAGCGAAUACGAAAAAAGAAUUAAUUUCUGCAACUUCAUUUACACGGUUAAAUAAAAACAAAUACAACAGAUUAACAAAUGUAUCUACUGAUAAAAAAGAAAUAAAGAACUCGUUUUUUUCAAAAUACAUUGUUAAAAAAAAUAUUAAUAAAGAUAUACACGGAGAAGAAAAUGAUAAUAAGAGUAAUAAUAAAAAAGGUGAUGAUAAUAACAAGUCGA